UAGGGGCGAAGGCGCGGGCGUGGGCGAGGGGCCCCAGCGGGCGCGGGUGCUCGUGGGUGGGACUUCCAAAUCGACAAUCGGCUCCGUUAGACUUGAUUUGGCGUAUUUGAACUAUCUAGAAGAUAAAUUUUUCGGUUUUUCGAUAUCAUUUACUUGUAAUCGAAAGGAUUAAAAAUCAACGGCUGAAAAUAAAAAUCUCACAAAAAGUUAUGAUGUUACACUAAAAAUUUUCGAUCAGAAAUAUUGAUCUUGUAAUAGAUGGUAUAAAAAAUUUUUUAUCAAAAUUUCGUCUGAUUAAUUACUUCUAUGCUGUUAAACUUGCAAACGGCAUACAUCAAUUAUUAAAAAUUAUUGAUUUUGAAUUCUUUCGAUCACUAGGUAAAUGAUAUCGAAAAUCUGCAAAAAUUAUUUUCUAAAUAGUUCAUAUAUUCUAGAUCAAAUCUAACAGAGCCGAUCGUCGAUUCGGAAGUCCCAUCAUCGAAAACGGCUUAGGAGUACAGAGGCCUCCAUGCUCCUAAUAGCGUACAAGACCUACUAUAUAUAUAUAUUUUGUUUUUUUGCUUCUGAAAAAGUUUUGACAUCUAUAAUUUGAUAUAAUAAAGUAUUUCACUUGCGAGAUAAUUUAUUUUUUUUUCAAAAAUUAAAUUUGAAUUCAGUUACAAUUACAACACAGUUAUAACUACGUGCAAUCAAAUCAAAACUAUGAAAAAAUAAAGCAGAAGAGCUGGUAAAGGGCUUUUUUUGUAUUUAAGCCCUUCAAAACUUUUUUUUUUAUAAAUGUUCCUAAUAAAUUUAUAUUUACAUAAAUAGCCCUUUCCUUGUUACGCGAGCGUCAUUUUUAAAUUGAACACGGUGAUUUAAACACAGCAAUUGAAUCAUCGAAUUUCUUUUUGUAUUGUUAAGUAAAAAAAAGAAACUGAAAUAUGAAUUUAAAUACUGUGAUUGGAUCACCGUAUUACUUUUUGUAUUUUUUAUUAUUUAUAAGUCAAAAAAAGUGACUAAAGUGUGAAUAUGAAUAUGGUGAUUCAAUUAUUAUGUUCAAUUUAAAAUUGCCAAUAUUUUACUCGCAUGGCAAGGAGAGAGUCAGAUAUGUAAAUAUAAAUUUGUUAGGAUCAUCUGUAAAUAUUUUUUAAAUUUGUUAGGAUCAUCUGUAAAUAUUUUUUUUUUUAGGGGACGCUUAUAAAUUAGGGAAAACUUCAAAAAAUCCCAUGUGGUUUCGUAGUUUCUCACUUUGUCCCCAUGUGGUUUAAAAUGUAUCAAUUUGUCCCUAUGUGGUUUUUUUUUCUCUUUUUCUUAUCAAUUUCAUUAUUUUUUUUUCUUAAAUCAGUGAUAAAGUUAAAAUUAAAGGGUACUAAAGUGAAUAUUUGAUAAAUCUAGAUGAGUAUCUGAAGUUUUUUGUAUAUAAUUUAAUAAAAUAUUAACGAAAAAGCUACCAAAAAGAUAAAAACGAAACCACAUGGGGGCAAAUCGAUACACUUUAAACUACAGGGGGGCCAAGUGAGAAACU
rnacentral:lncRNA from 1 species